rnacentral:rRNA from 3 species
GAUUUCUGACGAAACUGCUAGCUGGCCCGCCACGCAAGUGUGUGAGUGCCGGCUUGGCGUUUGUCAUCCGUUCGAAUGAUAUGCGUGCUGCCCUUCACUGGGUUGGCGCUGCAUGUUUUCGAUCUUUUACUUUGAAAAAAUUAGAGUGUUUCAAGCAGGCAUGUUUUGCUAUGAAUACAUUAGCAUGGAAUAAUAAUCUAGGACUUCGGUUCUAUUUUGUUGGUUUCUAUAACUGAAGUAAUGAUUGAUAGGGAUAGUUGGGGGUGCUAGUAUUGGCCGGCCAGAGGUGAAAUUCUUGGAUUCGGUCAAGACUAACUUAUGCGAAAGCAUU